UUGAUGAGUGAUGACCACUGGUGGCGUGUGAGUUGUGGAUGAUGGAUACAUGUCUGGAACUCUGAGGUCCAA
ensembl:snoRNA small nucleolar RNA, C/D box 114-27